rnacentral:rRNA from 1 species
CUGGCUCAGGACGAACGCUGGCGGCGUGCUUAACACAUGCAAGUCGAACGGAAAGGCUCCUUGCUUGCAAGGGGUACUCGAGUGGCGAACGGGUGAGUAACACGUGGGUGAUCUGCCUUGCACUUCGGGAUAAGCCUGGGAAACUGGGUCUAAUACCGGAUAGGACCAUGCUUUAGUGUGUGUGGUGGAAAGUUUUUCGGUGCAAGAUGAGCCCGCGGCCUAUCAGCUUGUUGGUGGGGUAAUGGCCUACCAAGGCGACGACGGGUAGCCGGCCUGAGAGGGUGUACGGCCACAUUGGGACUGAGACACGGCCCAGACUCCUACGGGAGGCAGCAGUGGGGAAUAUUGCACAAUGGGCGCAAGCCUGAUGCAGCGACGCCGCGUGGGGGAUGACGGCCUUCGGGUUGUAAACUCCUUUCGCUAGGGAAGAAGCCACUUUGUGGUGACGGUACCUGGAUAAGAAGCACCGGCUAACUACGUGCCAGCAGCCGCGGUAAU